GGGUUGUGAGGUUAAGCGACUAAGCGUACACGGUGGAUGCCCUGGCAGUCAGAGGCGAUGAAGGGCGUGCUAAUCUGCGAUAAGCGCCGGUAAGGUGAUAUGAACCGUUAUAACCGGCGAUACCCGAAUGGGGAAACCCAGUGUGAUUCGUCACACUAUCAUUAACUGAAUCCAUAGGUUAAUGAGGCGAACCGGGGGAACUGAAACAUCUAAGUACCCCGAGGAAAAGAAAUCAACCGAGAUUCCCCCAGUAGCGGCGAGCGAACGGGGAGGAGCCCAGAGCCUGAAUCAGCAUGUGUGUUAGUGGAAGCGUCUGGAAAGGCGCGCGAUACAGGGUGACAGCCCCGUACACAAAAGCGCAUGUGUUGUGAGCUCGAUGAGUAGGGCGGGACACGUGGUAUCCUGUCUGAAUAUGGGGGGACCAUCCUCCAAGGCUAAAUACUCCUGACUGACCGAUAGUGAACCAGUACCGUGAGGGAAAGGCGAAAAGAACCCCGGCGAGGGGAGUGAAAAAGAACCUGAAACCGUGUACGUACAAGCAGUGGGAGCACCCUUUGGGGUGUGACUGCGUACCUUUUGUAUAAUGGGUCAGCGACUUAUAUUCUGUAGCAAGGUUAACCGAAUAGGGGAGCCGGAGGGAAACCGAGUCUUAAUUGGGCGUUAAGUUGCAGGGUAUAGACCCGAAACCCGGUGAUCUAGCCAUGGGCAGGUUGAAGGUUGGGUAACACUAACUGGAGGACCGAACCGACUAAUGUUGAAAAAUUAGCGGAUGACCUGUGGCUGGGGGUGAAAGGCCAAUCAAACCGGGAGAUAGCUGGUUCUCCCCGAAAGCUAUUUAGGUAGCGCCUCGUGAAUUCAUCUCCGGGGGUAGAGCACUGUUUCGGCUAGGGGGCCAUCCCGGCUUACCAACCCGAUGCAAACUGCGAAUACCGGAGAAUGUUAUCACGGGAGACACACGGCGGGUGCUAACGUCCGUCGUGAAGAGGGAAACAACCCAGACCGCCAGCUAAGGUCCCAAAGUCAUGGUUAAGUGGGAAACGAUGUGGGAAGGCCCAGACAGCCAGGAUGUUGGCUUAGAAGCAGCCAUCAUUUAAAGAAAGCGUAAUAGCUCACUGGUCGAGUCGGCCUGCGCGGAAGAUGUAACGGGGCUAAACCAUGCACCGAAGCUGCGGCAGCGACACUAUGUGUUGUUGGGUAGGGGAGCGUUCUGUAAGCCUGUGAAGGUGUGUCGUGAGGCAUGCUGGAGGUAUCAGAAGUGCGAAUGCUGACAUAAGUAACGAUAAAGCGGGUGAAAAGCCCGCUCGCCGGAAGACCAAGGGUUCCUGUCCAACGUUAAUCGGGGCAGGGUGAGUCGACCCCUAAGGCGAGGCCGAAAGGCGUAGUCGAUGGGAAACGGGUUAAUAUUCCCGUACUUGGUGUUACUGCGAAGGGGGGACGGAGAAGGCUAUGUUGGCCGGGCGACGGUUGUCCCGGUUUAAGCGUGUAGGUGUGUGUUCCAGGUAAAUCCGGUUCACUUUAACACUGAGGCGUGACGACGAGGCACUACGGUGCUGAAGCAACAAAUGCCCUGCUUCCAGGAAAAGCCUCUAAGCAUCAGGUAACAUCAAAUCGUACCCCAAACCGACACAGGUGGUCAGGUAGAGAAUACCAAGGCGCUUGAGAGAACUCGGGUGAAGGAACUAGGCAAAAUGGUGCCGUAACUUCGGGAGAAGGCACGCUGACACGUAGGUGAAGUGAUUUACUCAUGGAGCUGAAGUCAGUCGAAGAUACCAGCUGGCUGCAACUGUUUAUUAAAAACACAGCACUGUGCAAACACGAAAGUGGACGUAUACGGUGUGACGCCUGCCCGGUGCCGGAAGGUUAAUUGAUGGGGUCAGCGCAAGCGAAGCUCCUGAUCGAAGCCCCGGUAAACGGCGGCCGUAACUAUAACGGUCCUAAGGUAGCGAAAUUCCUUGUCGGGUAAGUUCCGACCUGCACGAAUGGCGUAAUGAUGGCCAGGCUGUCUCCACCCGAGACUCAGUGAAAUUGAACUCGCUGUGAAGAUGCAGUGUACCCGCGGCAAGACGGAAAGACCCCGUGAACCUUUACUAUAGCUUGACACUGAACAUUGAGCCUUGAUGUGUAGGAUAGGUGGGAGGCUUUGAAGUGUGGACGCCAGUCUGCAUGGAGCCGACCUUGAAAUACCACCCUUUAAUGUUUGAUGUUCUAACGUGGACCCGUGAUCCGGGUUGCGGACAGUGUCUGGUGGGUAGUUUGACUGGGGCGGUCUCCUCCUAAAGAGUAACGGAGGAGCACGAAGGUUGGCUAAUCCUGGUCGGACAUCAGGAGGUUAGUGCAAUGGCAUAAGCCAGCUUGACUGCGAGCGUGACGGCGCGAGCAGGUGCGAAAGCAGGUCAUAGUGAUCCGGUGGUUCUGAAUGGAAGGGCCAUCGCUCAACGGAUAAAAGGUACUCCGGGGAUAACAGGCUGAUACCGCCCAAGAGUUCAUAUCGACGGCGGUGUUUGGCACCUCGAUGUCGGCUCAUCACAUCCUGGGGCUGAAGUAGGUCCCAAGGGUAUGGCUGUUCGCCAUUUAAAGUGGUACGCGAGCUGGGUUUAGAACGUCGUGAGACAGUUCGGUCCCUAUCUGCCGUGGGCGCUGGAGAACUGAGGGGGGCUGCUCCUAGUACGAGAGGACCGGAGUGGACGCAUCACUGGUGUUCGGGUUGUCAUGCCAAUGGCACUGCCCGGUAGCUAAAUGCGGAAGAGAUAAGUGCUGAAAGCAUCUAAGCACGAAACUUGCCCCGAGAUGAGUUCUCCCUGAGACUUAAAGUCUCCUGAAGGAACGUUGAAGACGACGACGUUGAUAGGCCGGGUGUGUAAGCGCAGCGAUGCGUUGAGCUAACCGGUACUAAUGAACCGUGAGGCUUAACCUUACAACGCCGAAG
rnacentral:rRNA from 2 species